rnacentral:rRNA from 1 species
UACGUAGGCAGCGAGCGUUGUUCGGAGUUACUGGGCGUAAAGGGCGCGUAGGCGGCCAGCACAAGUCAGUUGUGAAAUCUCCGAGCUUAACUCGGAAAGGUCAACUGAUACUGUGCGGCUAGAGUGCGGAAGGGGCAACUGGAAUUCUUGGUGUAGCGGUGAAAUGCGUAGAUAUCAAGAGGAACACCUGCGGCGAAGGCGGGUUGCUGGGCCGACACUGACGCUGAGGCGCGAAAGCCAGGGGAGCGAACGGG